UACGUAGGUGGCAAGCGUUGUCCGGAAUUAUUGGGCGUAAAGCGCGCGUAGGCGGUCCUUUAAGUCUGAUGUGAAAGCCCACGGCUCAACCGUGGAGGGUCAUUGGAAACUGGGGGGACUUGAGUACAGAAGAGAAGAGUGGAAUUCCACGUGUAGCGGUGAAAUGCGUAGAGAUGUGGAGGAACACCAGUGGCGAAGGCGACUCUUUGGUCUGUAACUGACGCUGAGGCGCGAAAGCGUGGGGAGCAAACAGG
rnacentral:rRNA from 1 species